rnacentral:rRNA from 1 species
GACGAACGCUGGCGGCGUGCCUAAUACAUGCAAGUCGAGCGGACGAAUCGAAAGCUUGCUUUUGAUUCGUUAGCGGCGGACGGGUGAGUAACACGUGGGCAACCUGCCCUGUAGACGGGGAUAACACCGAGAAAUCGGUGCUAAUAGCGGAUAACACGAAAUGUCGCAUGACGUUUCGUUGAAAGACGGCGCAAGCUGUCGCUACAGGAUGGGCCCGCGGCGCAUUAGCUAGUUGGUGAGGUAACGGCUCACCAAGGCGACGAUGCGUAGCCGACCUGAGAGGGUGAUCGGCCACACUGGGACUGAGACACGGCCCAGACUCCUACGGGAGGCAGCAGUAGGGAAUCUUCCGCAAUGGACGAAAGUCUGACGGAGCAACGCCGCGUGAGCGAAGAAGGCCUUCGGGUCGUAAAGCUCUGUUGUUAGGGAAGAACAAGUAACGCAGUAACUGGCGUUACCGUGACGGUACCUAACGAGAAAGCCACGGCUAACUACGUG